rnacentral:ncRNA from 1 species
UUCUAUCUUCGGGGCAGGGUGAAAUUCCCGACCGACGGUGAAGAGCUUGCUUAUGCUCUAAGUCCGUGACCUGUUCGGCAUACGCCGGAUGGCUGACCUGGUGCAAUUCCAGGACCGACAGUUACAGUCUGGAUGGGAGAAGAUACGG